rnacentral:rRNA from 1 species
GUCGAGCGAGCUUGCCUAGAUGAAUUUGGUGCUUGCACCAGAUGAAACUAGAUACAAGCGAGCGGCGGACGGGUGAGUAACACGUGGGUAACCUGCCCAAGAGACUGGGAUAACACCUGGAAACAGAUGCUAAUACCGGAUAACAACACUAGACGCAUGUCUAGAGUUUAAAAGAUGGUUCUGCUAUCACUCUUGGAUGGACCUGCGGUGCAUUAGCUAGUUGGUAAGGUAACGGCUUACCAAGGCAAUGAUGCAUAGCCGAGUUGAGAGACUGAUCGGCCACAUUGGGACUGAGACACGGCCCAAACUCCUACGGGAGGCAGCAGUAGGGAAUCUUCCACAAUGGACGCAAGUCUGAUGGAGCAACGCCGCGUGAGUGAAGAAGGGUUUCGGCUCGUAAAGCUCUGUUGGUAGUGAAGAAAGAUAGAGGUAGUAACUGGCCUUUAUUUGACGGUAAUUACUUAGAAAGUCACGGCUAACUACGUGCCAGCAGCCGCGGUAAUACGUAGGUGGCAGGCGUUGUCCGGAUUUAUUGGGCGUAAAGCGAGUGCAGGCGGUUCAAUAAGUCUGAUGUGAAAGCCUUCGGCUCAACCGGAGAAUUGCAUCAGAAACUGUUGAACUUGAGUGCAGAAGAGGAGAGUGGAACUCCAUGUGUAGCGGUGGAAUGCGUAGAUAUAUGGAAGAACACCAGUGGCGAAGGCGGCUCUCUGGUCUGCAACUGACGCUGAGGCUCGAAAGCAUGGGUAGCGAACAGGAUUAGAUACCCUGGUAGUCCAUGCCGUANACGAUGAGUGCUAAGUGUUGGGAGGUUUCCGCCUCUCAGUGCUGCAGCUAACGCAUUAA